rnacentral:misc_RNA from 1 species
UUAAAGUACAUGUACAGUACACCUGCUGGCCAUACCCGGCCCCGCAUCCAGUGACGGGUACCCUGCGUGUGUACGCAUGAUCCAGCACGUGCGCGAACACAAGUCAUUAAAAGUCCAACUUAGACAUGUCAUACCAGUGAAAUGUCAAAGCUUUUAUAGUCGGGCCGCUAGAACAUGCAUGUAAAGGUUCAGUAAACAACAGGCAUUAUUUCGGAAAGAGGAAAGCGCCUUUCUACCGUACGAUGAUAAGCUGGUUUUAAGAACAACAAAGACAUUGAUGAAGAGAAUCUCAUGUGAGGAAUUUCUUUCUCUGAGUGUCAACCUGUUGAGGCUCAACAGGUCAUCUCAUUACACCUGCAAAAUAAUCAGUGAUGGGACCAUAAUGACAUGUUUACAGGAUGACUGAAUUCAAUCCUACUGACCAGCAAGGUCUUUAUCGCACAGCGGAAUACUACGCUUUUCAAGCAAAUAUCAGGCAGGCAUCCGGAAGAUGAUCAUCAACAAGUUUUCUUCACAAAGAUAAGUCUAAAAGUUGGAGACAGGUGUACCUUGGAAGUGAGGUUACAGCUGUACAAUUUCAUUUUCUGUAAACCAAAGUUAGUCCGUUAUGUCCCUCUCUGUAAUGUAGUUUCAUCUUCUUUACGAAACCUUUGUACUUCUGACAAACUCACACGAUCACGCUUCUCUGCUAUUCUACAUGUAUACUUAUUUAUUUCUACAGUAGUGCUAGCAGAUGUGAUACACAGCAAGUCAAAAUCUCGAAGACCCUCUUUCCCUCUCUCCUCUUUAUAACCCAUCUUAUUCCCAUCUAAUUUCUAAGACAAUAUCUGUGCACUUCAAGAAGGUUUAUGUGGUCAGUCCAGGAUAUAGUGUGGUUAGCCCCAACCACUUCCAGUCCCUUAGAUUUCAUUUUUACGACUUUGCGUGAGCCCAAUUUCCCCCUUAAUUGACCACGACCUUCCUCUACAUGCUUGUGGUUCCUUACUCAGAAUUUCUUCAUGACACCCUCCAAUAUGCAGCAUAUG